rnacentral:tRNA from 2 species
AGUAAAGUCAGCUAAAUAAGCUCUCGGGCCCAUACCCCGAACAUGUUGGUUAGAAUCCUUCCUUUGCUA